rnacentral:antisense_RNA from 1 species
CUUUAUGGCGGGUUGCGUGGGGACACCCUCGGGUGUGCCGGUUCCCUUGGACGCCGGUCGGCCAACCCUGCGUAACCCGUCACCACU